GUGGGUGAUCUGCCCUGCACUUCGGGAUAAGCCUGGGAAACUGGGUCUAAUACCGGAUAGGAGCCAUUUUUAGUGUGAUGGUUGGAAAGUUUUUCGGUGUAGGAUGAGCUCGCGGCCUAUCAGCUUGUUGGUGGGGUAAUGGCCUACCAAGGCGGCGACGGGUAGCCGGCCUGAGAGGGUGGACGGCCACAUUGGGACUGAGAUACGGCCCAG
rnacentral:rRNA from 1 species